CCUACGGGCGGCAGCAGUGGGGAAUAUUGCGCAAUGGGCGCAAGCCUGACGCAGCAAUGCCGCGUGAAUGAAGAAGGUCUUCGGAUUGUAAAAUUCUGUCCUAUGGGAAGAAAAAAAUGACGGUACCAUAGGAGGAAGCCCCGGCUAACUACGUGCCAGCAGCCGCGGUAAUACGUAGGGGGCGAGCGUUGUCCGGAAUUACUGGGCGUAAAGAGAGCGUAGGCGGCACUACAAGUAGCAUGUGAAAGACCCGGGCUUAACCUGGGAGUUGCAUGGGAAACUGUAGAGCUUGAGUACAGGAGAGGGAAGCGGAAUUCCUAGUGUAGCGGUGAAAUGCAUAGAUAUGAGGAGGAACACCAGUGGCGAAGGCGGCUUGCUGGAAUGAAACUGACGCUGAGGCGCGAAAGCGUGGGGAGCAAACAGGAUUAGAUACCCCUGUAGUC
rnacentral:rRNA from 1 species